CUGAUAUUCCCAUUAGUACUUUCUUGAUUCCUUGUAGUCCUUUUGAUAUUUGACUUGACGUGGUGGCUAUCGUUGAAACCUAUCUAUGAGCACAUGUUAAGCCAAGCCAUUCUAAAAACCACAAAUGUGCAUCUGUCCACUACAUAUUGGGUAGAUAUAGAUUAAAGUUUUGUAUGUUGUAUCAUCCUCACAUCCUGACACUGUUUUACUUGUAGGAUGACUUGUAUAGUACUAAGUAACCAUGUACUAAGACUCUUUGAUAACCCCAUGCUUUCCAC